rnacentral:rRNA from 1 species
ACUGCCGAGAAAAGUUUCUAGUGAGUAACAGAUCGCCCGUACCGCAAACCGACACAGGUAGUCGAGGAGAGUAUCCUCAGGCGCGCGAGAGAACCCUCGUUAAGGAACUCGGCAAAAUAACCCCGUAACUUCGGAAGAAGGGGUGCUGACCGGAAGGUCAGCCGCAGUGAAUAGGCCCAAACAACUGUUUAUCAAAAACACAGGUCUCUGCUAAAUCGAAAGAUGACGUAUAGGGGCUGACACCUGCCCGGUGCUGGAAGGUUAAGAGGAUCUGUUAGCGUAAGCGAAGCAGAGAAUUGAAGCCCCAGUAAACGGCGGCCGUAACUAUAACGGUCCUAAGGUAGCGAAAUUCCUUGUCGGGUAAGUUCCGACCCGCACGAAAGGUGUAAUGAUUUGGGCACUGUCUCAACGAGGGACUCGGUGAAAUUAUAUUACCCGUGAAGAUGCGGGUUACCCGCGACAGGACGGAAAGACCCCAUGGAGCUUUACUGUAGCUUGAUAUUGAGUGUCUGUACCGCAUGUACAGGAUAGGUAGGAGCCGUAGAAACCGGGACGCUAGUCUCGGUGGAGGCAUUGGUGGGAUACUACCCUUGCAGUGCGGCCACUCUAACCCGCGCCACUCAGCGUGGCGGGAGACAGUGUCAGGCAGGCAGUUUGACUGGGGCGGUCGCCUCCUAAAGUGUAACGGAGGCGCCCAAAGGUUCCCUCAGAAUGGUUGGAAAUCAUUCACAGAGUGUAAAGGCAUAAGGGAGCUUGACUGCGAGACAGACAGGUCGAGCAGGGACGAAAGUCGGGCUUAGUGAUCCGGUGGUUCUGUAUGGAAAGGCCAUCGCUCAACGGACAAAAGCUACCCUGGGGAUAACAGGCUUAUCUCCCCCAAGAGUCCACAUCGACGGGGAGGUUUGGCACCUCGAUGUCGGCUCAUCGCAUCCUGGGGCUGAAGUUGGUCCCAAGGGUUGGGCUGUUCGCCCAUUAAAGCGGUACGCGAGCUGGGUUCAGAACGUCGUGAGACAGUUCGGUCCCUAUCCGUCGCGGGCGUAGGAAAUUUGAGAAGAGCUGCCCUUAGUACGAGAGGACCGGGGUGGACAUACCGCUGGUGUACCAGUUGUGCCGCCAGGCGCAGAGCUGGGUAGCUAUGUAUGGCAGGGAUAAGCGCUGAAAGCAUCUAAGUGUGAAGCCCCCUUCGAGAUGAGAUUUCCCAUUCCUUUAAGGAAGUAAGACCCCUGAGAGAUGAUCAGGUAGAUAGGCUGGGAGUAGCAGCCCCGUGAGGGGUGGAGCGGACCAGUACUAAUCGGUCGAGGACUUAACC